rnacentral:lncRNA from 1 species
UGCCAAUCCCUCCAGAAUUGCUGGAUUGCUUAGAGACGAUUGACCCUGCUCCGUUUAGGCAGAAAAUGUUUAGAGUUUUAUGUUCAGAGCUCCCUGUUGGCCAACAGUCACCUCUGUAUCCUCUUGGGCCUGUGUGGUCCCCUACAUGAAAGUCAUGUGGAUGAUGCCUCAGUCCUCUCUCCUGGAUGGGCUUCCCACCUCUGCUUGACUGUCUCUGGGUCUAGUCAGUGUUUCUGGGCCAGCAUUUCUGUGAGGCUUGAAUUUGCAGGGGUGAAGACCCAGACCAUAUUAGAGCCCUGGAGUAGAAAGGAUUUUGGACAGUGAUUGUGGAGGUUAUGAUGGUGGUGAUGAGGAAGUGAUUGUAGAGGUGGAGAUGAUAAUGUAUGUAAUUAUGAUGGAAGUGAAGGACUGAGAGUGAUGGUGGAGGUGAUGGUGCUGGCAAAGGUGGAGGUGAUAGUGAUGGUUCUGAUAAAUGGAGAUGGUAGAGGUAGUGGAGGUGAUGAUGAUUGCAAUGGUGGAGGUGCUAACAGAGGUACAGAUGGUGAUGGUGGAGAUAGUAGAAUGAAGGGGUGGUGGUAAUGGUGAUGAGGGUGACAGUAAAAGUGGAGGAGCGAUGAAGGCAGAAGAGGUGGUGGGGGUGUUAUGUUGCUGGAAGAAGAGGUGGUAGAGGAGUUGGAGGUGAAGGUGGGGUGGCGGUGUAGAGUGGACAUGAGGGUGGUGCUCGGGCCACCAGAGAGCGAGGGAAAAUUUGAACUUACCCUGCGCAGCCCUCUGACUUCUAUUUUACAGCUGAGAAAAUGAGACCUCCAACAGUACCCGGCUUCUGAUACAAUCCCGGAAGGAGUUGGGGGCAGAUCCAGGCCUCCAGGACCAGUCCUAGGGCUCAGCUAUCUGAGGCUGGGACAGGGCAUCAGUGCCCUUUGGAAGCCAGGCAAAUGUCAUGCAACACACAGCCUGGCACAAGCAAGCUUUCGGUAAGGGCAGCUGCUCUGGUCGUCAUCAUCGUUGUUGUCAUCAUCAUCAUCAUCAUCAUCAUCAUCAUCACCAUCAUCAUCAUCUACUCCAACCUUCCCAUUUGGUGGAUGUGGAAACCGAGGCCCGGUGUAGGCUUGAAGAUGCGGAAGUUGCAUCCUGAUCUAGUCAUCUUUCGUUUGCUGAGAUGAGCACAGAGACGUUUCUGGUUCAAAUCCCAAAUCCACAACUUAAUCGGUUUACCUUUCUGAACCUGUUUCCUAACCUACAAAACGGAGUCCUGGGGCCUUUAUGAGCCCCUACAGAGUACUCAUAUUUCUGUUGCCACAAUGUGUGCUCCAGGGCAUUGAAACCCAGAUGAGAAUUUCAUCCAGAGAAAUAAAAAACACAAAGAUUCCCCAGGCCUCAGUUUCCCCAUCUUCAAGCCGAGCGUCUGCCCUAGAAGCUCCCGUGUCCGUCCGCAGUCGGCCCG